rnacentral:rRNA from 1 species
GACGGAGGGUGCAAGCGUUGCUCGGAAUUACUGGGCGUAAAGCGCGUGUAGGCGGUCCGGUAAGUCGAGUGUGAAAGCCCGGGGCUCAACCUCGGAAGUGCAUUCGAAACUGUCGGACUUGAGUACGGGAGAGGGAAGUGGAAUUCCUGGUGUAGAGGUGAAAUUCGUAGAUAUCAGGAGGAACACCGGUGGCGAAGGCGGCUUCCUGGACCGAUACUGACGCUGAGACGCGAAAGCGUGGGGAG